AAUAGAAUGCUUUCUGAAUAUUGUACAGUAAGAAAUGAAAAUUAAGUGCUGAGUUUGUUGGAUUACUGAUAGCCUGUUACCGAGUUGGAUUUUAAAAACAUUCUGCUCAGACUAAAGCACCUGGAACCAUAAUCUACAGUCAGAUUGCUGAUCGUUCACAUAAUGCCUUUGCAUUUCGUGGGGCUGCAGGGAAGGCCUAUGCAUCUCAGGAGAUGUAUCAUCACCAAGCAUAGCAGUUCCUGGGCUAAGUUUGCAGGCUAAGACCUGAAUUUCCUAAGUAUGAGGUAGCUCUUCUUCUCCCCUUUGCCUUAGUUUUUAGUGUUUUUAUUGGAAUUAACUCUCUUUUUAAAGAGCUUCCCCUCAGCCCCAUUUGUAUUUUUUAAAGUAAUGUAUAUAAUUUUGCUGUUUUUUGCAUUCUUGUAUUGUGUGCUUCAUUCUCUGUAUUGGCAAGUAAGUACCAAAUGAAAAGUGGAGGUCCAAAAGUAUGAUAAAUCUCCUCUUCUCCCUUUCCCUUAUUGCCGGCAUGGGCAAUCGCUAGUAGAGUAGUGUUGGCUGAUUUAUUUUAGUGGCUUUUGGGGGGUAUAUACUUUAAAUAUGUACAUAUGUGGUUUUGAUGUGUUUUUAUAUACUUUUAUUUUGUAUAUUUUGUUCUGAUGAAAAAUGAAAUAUUGUCCAUGAAAAUCUCCUCUGCCUUCCCAUAUUGUCUGUGUGGGCAACAGCUCUGGAGUGGAUUUUUAUUUCCUUUUUUGGAAGGAGGUGGUGAUAUUGAGAGUCCCUUGAAGAGCUCUGAAUAUGCCUAACAAAAAUAAAGUUCCACCAAGUCCCUGCCUCUGACUUGAAGGCAUUGCAUUGUGGUGAUGUCACUAAUGGCAAUGGGCAUAUAGCCAAUAAGAUGGGAGAAGACACUUGGACAUGGCUAAGCUGUGAAAGCUAAUCAGACUCCGCUUUUCCUACUUUCAUUCAAACUGAAUGAAAUGGUGGGAAGGGACUUGUACAUUGGAAAUCCCAGAAAGGCAAAAGGACAGUACUAAGUAAAAGUCUGUUUAACGUUUAUUGCUGGUUAAUCUUUCAGUGACUGGUAAGCCAAUAGAAGUGCCUUGAUAGUAGCUUCUUUUAAGACUGGAAUCCUAUUCAUCCACAGAAGUCUGUUGCAGUUCCAUCAGUAGCAUAUUCUUGUGUACCCAGUAAAAAUUAUUUUGGUUUUUGGAAUAAAACUUUUUUUGACUUAU